rnacentral:rRNA from 1 species
AUUGAACGCUGGCGGCAUGCCUUACACAUGCAAGUCGAACGGCAGCACGGGAGCAAUCCUGGUGGCGAGUGGCGAACGGGUGAGUAAUAUAUCGGAACGUGCCCAGUCGUGGGGGAUAACGUAGCGAAAGCUACGCUAAUACCGCAUACGAUCUAUGGAUGAAAGCGGGGGAUCGCAAGACCCCGGCCGAUUGGAGCGGCCGAUAUCAGAUUAGGUAGUUGGUGAGGUAAAGGCUCACCAAGCCGACGAUCUGUAGCUGGUCUGAGAGGACGACCAGCCACACUGGGACUGAGACACGGCCCAGACUCCUACGGGAGGCAGCAGUGGGGAAUUUUGGACAAUGGGCGCAAGCCUGAUCCAGCAAUGCCGCGUGCAGGAUGAAGGCCUUCGGGUUGUAAACUGCUUUUGUACGGAACGAAACGGCGAGCUCUAAUACAGUUUGCUAAUGACGGUACCGUAAGAAUAAGCACCGGCUAACUACGUGCCAGCAGCCGCGGUAA